UGCCUUAGCUGGAUUAAUGAUGAGAUAUAACCUUGACUGAAGCUGAUGAUGAGUUUGUAUAAUUAAGCAGGAUUACUCUGAGAUCCAGCGUGGCUG